UCUGGACACAGCCCUUAGCCGUGGUAUAUUGGUCAUAUACUACAAACCCCCGAGGUGCCUUAUUGCUAUUAUAAACUGGUUACAAGUGUAAUUAUAGCAGGAAAAACAAAUGUUUUGUCAUACCCCUGGUAUAUAUCUGAUAUACCAUGGGGUAUGAUAUACCAUUAGCACUCAGGGCUCUACCACCCAGUUUAUAAUUAGAUAUAAGCAACUGGAGACAACUCACCACUCAGAUAUAUUUUGGUCCAUGACCAUGGUUCCAACAUGGCCAUUUAGCCUAGUCCCCAAUGCCUGGCCAACGUUUGCGUCGCGUGCGGGUGGAAAGACAGACCGCGAAUGGACAGGCACAUCGCGGCGCCUGCGCGUAGUCUCUGUUUAGCGUUCCACCACAAAUCAACAAGAGGAUCGACAUUAAACUAAGUGGGAUCAUUAAACAAGGGGGAAGAUGAACAAUAGCCUCUCUCUCAAAGCAGAUGACAGGAUCAUUUAUGAAAUGGCAACAAAGGAAUGAACAAAAGUCAUGAGUUACACACUGAA